rnacentral:rRNA from 1 species
GACGAACGCUGGCGGCGUGCUUAACACAUGCAAGUCGAACGAAGUGGCGAACGGGUGAGUAACGCGUAAUCAACCUGCCCUUCAGAGGGGAACACCAGUUGGAAACGACUGCUAAUACCGCAUACUGAAGGAGGGGAUUGCGUCUGAUUAGCUGGUUGGAGGGGUAACGGCCCACCAAGGCGAUGUUCAGUCGCCGGUCUGAGAGGAUUGACUGCCACAAUGGGACCUAGACACGGCCCAGACUCCUACGGGAGGCAGCAGUGGGGAAUCUUCCGCAAUGGAGGAAAGUCUGACGGAGCAACGCCGCGGGAGUGAUGAAGGCCUUCGGGUUGGAAAGCUCUGUUAAUCGGGACGCGGUACCGGAAUAGAAAGCCACGGCUAACUACGUGCCAGCCGCCGCGGUAAUAC